rnacentral:rRNA from 1 species
GACGAAGGAUGCAAGCGUUAUCCGGAUUCAUUGGGUUUAAAGGGAGCGUAGGCGGUCUUAUAAGUCAGUGGUGAAAUCUCCUCGCUUAACGAGGAAACUGCCAUUGAUACUGUAGGACUUGAGUAUAGUUGCUGUGGGCGGAAUAUGACAUGUAGUGGUGAAAUACUUAGAGAUGUCAUAGAACACCGAUUGCGAAGGCAGCUCACAAAACUAUAACUGACGCUGAGGCUCGAAAGUGCGGGGAUCAAACAGGAUUAGAUACCCCAGUAGU